rnacentral:sRNA from 1 species
AUGUUUAUUACUGUUUUCUUGAUGGCUAUAGUGGUUUCUUUCAAAUUGCAAUUCACCCUAAUGAUCAAGAAAAAACCACUUUCACCUGCCCCUAUGGAACCUUUGCUUAUAAGAGAAUGCCUUUUGGUUUAUGUAAUGCUCCUGGGACUUUCCAGAGAAGUAUGAUUUCGAUAUUCUCGGAUUUUAUUGAGGAGAUAAUGGAGGUAUUCAUGGACCAUUUUUCAGUUUAUAGAUCCUCUUUCACCUCAUGUUUGUUAAACUUGUGCAGGGUUCUAGAAAGGUGUGAGGAAACCAAUUUGGUACUCAACUGAGAGAAGUGUCACUUCAUGGAUUGGGAGAACUACAAUGCAAGUAGAUUACAUUUUGAGGAACACAAACCACCACCAAGAGUGAGUAAGAGUCUGACUGUUGCGCAAAAGAAUAUUGGUUCGAUGAGUGCUUGGAAUAAGUUUCAAGACAGGAUAUUGGAAAAAUGUGGUUGAUAAGGCUAAGGUUGACGUGAUGAUGCAGUUACAGCCACCCAAAACUGUCAAAGACAUCAGGAGUUUUCUUGGACAUGCAGGAUUUUACAGAAGAUUCAUCAAAGAUUUCUCCAAGUUGGCAAGACCGCUCACCAGACUACUGUGCAAGGAAACCGAGUUUGCAUUUGAUGACGAAUGUUUGACAGCCUUUAAGUUAAUCAAGGAAGCUUUGAUCACUGCACCAAUAGUCCAAGCUCCAAACUGGGACUUCCCAUUCGAGAUCAUGUGCGAUGCUUCAGAUUACGCAGUAGGAGCAGUCUUGGGCCAGCGGAUUGAUAAAAAGCUGCAUGUGAUCUACUACGCGAGCAGAACGAUGGAUGAUGCACAAGUAAGGUAUGCCACUACAGAAAAGGAACUGCUAGCUGUGGUAUUUGCAUUUGAAAAAUUUAGAAGCUACCUAGUGGGUUCUAAAGUGACAGUCUACACUGAUCAUGCUGCUCUGAGGCAUAUAUACGCGAAGAAGGAUACCAAACCUAGGCUGUUGAGAUGGAUCUUAUUGCUCCAAGAGUUUGAUAUGGAGAUAGUUGAUAAGAAGGGAAUUGAAAACGGUGUAGCUGAUCAUCUGUCUAGGAUGAGGAUUGAAGACGAGGUCCCUAUUGACGACUCCAUGCCAGAAGAACAGCUAAUGGCAAUUCAGCAACUUAACGAGAGUGCACAAAUUCGGAAAUCACUCGAUCAAGUAUGUACAAUUGAAGAAAAGCUUCCGUGGUAUGCUGAUCACGUCAACUACUUGGUUAGUGGUGAGGAGCCUCCGAAUCUGUCGAGCUAUGAGAAGAAGAAGUUCUUCAAGGACAUUAACCAUUUCUACUGGGACGAACCUUAUCUCUACACACUCUGCAAAGAUAAGAUCUACAGGAGAUGCGUCUCAGAAGACGAAAUCGAAGGCAUUCUAUUGCAUUGCCAUGGGUCUGCCUAUGGUGGCCACUUUGCAACGUUCAAGACAGUAUCGAAAAUCCUGCAAGCUGGUUUUUGGUGGCCAUCAAUGUUUAAGGAUGCUCAGGAAUUUAUCUCGAAAUGUGAUUCAUGUCAGAGAAGAGGGAACAUCAGCAGAAGGAAUGAGAUGCCUCAGAAUCCGAUAUUAGAAGUUGAGAUCUUUGACGUUUGGGGAAUUGAUUUUAUGGGUCCGUUUCCUUCCUCUUACGGGAACAAGUACAUACUGGUCGCAGUAGACUAUGUAUCAAAAUGGGUGGAAGCCAUAGCCAGCCCCACCAAUGAUGCUAGAGUUGUGCUAAAGCUGUUCAAGACAAUUAUCUUUCCUAGAUUUGGAGUCCCGAGAAUUGUGAUCAGUGACGGAGGGAAACAUUUUAUCAACAAGGUUUUUGAGAACCUUUUGAAGAAGCAUGGAGUAAAGCACAAGGUCGCCACUCCUUAUCAUCCACAGACGAGCGGGCAGGUGGAAAUCUCCAACAGGGAGAUAAAAGCAAUUUUAGAGAAAAUUGUGGGAAGUACAAGGAAAGAUUGGUCUGCUAAGCUCGAUGACGCACUAUGGGCUUACAGAACAGCCUUCAAGACCCCUAUUGGCACGACUCCUUUCAACCUCCUCUAUGGAAAAUCCUGUCAUUUGCCUGUUGAACUCGAGUAUAAAGCCAUGUGGGCAGUUAAACUCCUGAACUUCGACAUUAAAACCGCCGAGGAGAAGCGGUUGAUCAAACUGAACGAUCUCAACGAGAUUCGCUUAGAAGCCUAUGAGAGUUCCAAAAUCUACAAGGAGCGAACCAAGUCUUUCCAUGAUAAGAAGAUAGUCUCAAGAGAUUUUAAGGUUGGUGAUCAAGUGUUGCUGUUCAACUCUCGCCUGAGGCUUUUUCCAGGCAAGCUCAAGUCUAGAUGGUCUGGUCCUUUCUCUGUUACUGCAGUCCGACCUUAUGGUGCUAUCACUCUAGCUGGAAAGAAUGGAGACUUCACAGUCAAUGGCCAGCGGCUCAAGAAAUACAUGAUAGAUCAGUUUAUUCCAGAAGGAACCUCUGUUCCUUUGGAGGAGCCUUUAAACGCCUAAUGAGUAUGAAGAGUCAAGCUAGAGACCUAAAACAAGCUCACUUGGGAGGAAGUCCCAAGCCUAUCUUUGUACAUAUCUUUCAUUUUCCUUAUUGUUUUUGAUGCAUCUUGUUAGUGUUUUCAGGAGAUAAAUAUGAAGAGUUGAUGGAAAUAGAUUCUGGCUUUGAAGGAACAGCAAUACACUCGACCACAAAGCAAUCAAACUCGACAUUGUUCUGGCGUCUUCACACCAGGAAAUCACUCGACCACACCCUAUAAAGACCGAAUGACGAUGUGGUCGAGUAUAGCGAAUGAUGCAGUCACGACUUCUCCACUCCCGUAGCUUACGCGACCGCGGUGCUGGCCGCAGCAGAAGAAGAGAGGUCGAGUAUCAUCACAGCGGUGCUGGCCGCGACGAAGGAGCAGAGGUCGAGUACCCCCAGGGGGAAGCUGAGACACAACAGGGAGAUUCUUCAAUGGCCUAGGAGCAAUCACAGGCAGCUAUUGACGACCAACUCCGCUCCUUCUUCCACUGAGGUAUGCACCUCACUCCACCAUUGUAAUAUACCAUCUCUUGUUUUUUUUUGUUUUUUUU